rnacentral:rRNA from 1 species
GAUGAACGCUAGCGGCAGGCUUAAUACAUGCAAGUCGAGGGGCAGCAUGGGUAGCAAUACCUGAUGGCGACCGGCAAACGGGUGCGGAACACGUACGCAACCUUCCCAUAACUGGUGAAUAGCCCUCCGAAAGGAGGAUUAAUACACCGUAACAUAAUAGAGUGGCAUCACUUUAUUAUUAUAGGCUUCGGCCGGUUUUGGAUGGGCGUGCGCCUGAUUAGGUAAUUGGCGGGGUAACGGCCCACCAAGCCUACGAUCAGUAACUGGUGUGAGAGCACGACCAGUCACACGGGCACUGAGACACGGGCCCGACUCCUACGGGAGGCAGCAGUAAGGAAUAUUGGUCAAUGGACGAAAGUCUGAACCAGCCAUGCCGCGUGGAGGAUGAAGGCCCUCUGGGGUUGUAAACUUCUUUUAUCUGGGACGAAAAAAGGGUAUUCUUACUCACUUGACGGUACCAGAGGAAUAAGCACCGGCUAACUCCGUGCCAGCAGCCGCGGUAAAGU